rnacentral:tRNA from 3 species
GCCUGGGUAGUUCAGUGGUAGAACGCAUUCUUGGUAAGAAUGAGGUCGUGGGUCCGAUUCCCACCCCAGGCUCCC